UGCCAUAAACUAAAAAAAAAAAAAAGAAAGAAAGAAAAGAAACAGAAAAAAUUGUGGUGAGGUGGGGAAGCAGGGAACCACACUUAGAUACUAGUUAAUUUCGAUGGAUCCCUGAGUGCAUAAAGGCUGACUGUAUUCAGUAACAAAUGAGCUUGCUGUUCUCAAAAUACAUCUGAUAAAACUGGAGUUUGUUGGACUUUAGCUGCGUAGAGAGGUCACAGGUAUGUCUGGUGUAAGAAAUUACAGACCUGCUUGGAAGAAAUUAGUCUUUGCUAGAACCAAACCCUUCAAGUUCCAUGAGCCAUUAUCUGAGACAAUCAGUGUCUGAUUACAUCCUAGCAAAGUCCAUAGAAAUGCUGCCUUCAGUGGAAUCCUGUCCCAAGGGGAAUGCCUGACUUACACGAUGCACCCCAAGGCUGUCUGUGAAACUUACUUGGAUGAACUUUAAGAUCAGUGCUUACCUGAGGGCCAUGACUUUGUGGCUUAGAUGAUUAUUCCUUUGCCAGGAAGGUCAAUUAUAUACCAAACUCUGAACAUGUGCUGACUGUAAGUCUUUCCCGGUUAAAUGCAUCAUUCUAAUAAGUUCAUCAACUAUAAAACCUAGUGAUGGAUUGUUUUUUCUC
rnacentral:lncRNA from 1 species